CAGGAGACAAGUUAUAAUUGAGGUAAGUUUGGAAACACUACCUUAUUUAAUCAUUAAAUUAUUACAUCUCUUUUCGGUGUUGUAGUUUGUAGACGGUCCAUAAGCACUCGUCUAACUGCCGGUAGCCGCAGCAG